GAUGAACGCUAGCGGCAGGCUUAAUACAUGCAAGUCGAGGGGCAGCAGGGGUGUAGCAAUACAUCUGCUGGCGACCGGCAAACGGGUGCGUAACACGUACGCAACCUUCCCGUUACUGUGGCAUAGCCCAGGGAAACUUGGAUUAAUACCACCUAUUAUAUAGAGAGGGCAUCCUUUUUAUAUCAAAGCUUCGGCGUUAACGGAUGGGCGUGCGGUUGAUUAGGUAGUUGGCGGGGUAACGGCCCACCAAGCCUACGAUCAAUAGCUGAUGUGAGAGCAUGAUCAGCCACACGGGCACUGAGACACGGGCCCGACUCCUACGGGAGGCAGCAGUAAGGAAUAUUGGGCAAUGGACGAAAGUCUGACCCAGCCAUGCCGCGUGAAGGAUUAAGGUCCUCUGGAUUGUAAACUUCUUUUCUCUGGGGCGAAAACCAGCUAUUCUUAGCUAUUUGACAGUACCAGAGGAAUAAGCACCGGCUAACCCCGUGCCAGCAGCCGCAGUAAGAC
rnacentral:rRNA from 1 species